rnacentral:rRNA from 1 species
UCGGACGGUGUAGCUCACGCUUGCUUGGGUGGAUAAGUGGCGAACGGGUGAGUAACACGUGAGCAACCUGCCCCGGACUCUGGAAUAAGCGCUGGAAACGGCGUCUAAUACUGGAUAUGACACCAAUCCGCAUGGGUAUGGUGUGGAAAGUUUUUCGGUCUGGGAUGGGCUCGCGGCCUAUCAGCUUGUUGGUGAGGUAAUGGCUCACCAAGGCGACGACGGGUAGCCGGCCUGAGAGGGCGACCGGCCACACUGGGACUGAGACACGGCCCAGACUCCUACGGGAGGCAGCAGUGGGGAAUAUUGCACAAUGGGCGAAAGCCUGAUGCAGCGACGCCGCGUGAGGGAUGACGGCCUUCGGGUUGUAAACCUCUUUCAACAGGGAAAAAACGAAAGUGACGGUACCUGCACAAAAAGCACCGGCUAACUACAUGCGCACACCCCCCGUAAUACGUACGGGGCGAGCGUUGGCCCGGAAUAGUGGGCCUAAAGAGCUUGUAAGAGGUUUGUCGCGGCUGCGCUGGAAAACCGGGGCCCCCCCUCCGACUUUUGAUUGUGGGCCGGGCCACUAUACCGUGGGGGGGGGGGAGUUUGGAUUUUUUGGGGGAGCGGGGAUGAAAUGCGCAGAUAUCAGGAGGAACACGGCGGGGAUGGCAGGUCUGUGCCCCACUGCUGACGCUGAGAAGCGAAAGCAUGGGGAGCGAACAGGAUUAGAUACCGUGGUCCUCCAUGCCGUAAACGUUGGGCGGUAGGUGUGGGACUCUUUCCACGUUUUCCGUGCCGCAGAUAACGCAUUAAGCCCCCCCCCUGGGGAGUACGGCCGCAAGGCUAAAACUCAAAGGAAUUGACGGGGGCCCGCACAAGCGGCGGAGCAUGAGGAUUAAUUCGAUGCAACGCGAAGAACCUUACCAAGGCUUGACAUAUACCGGAAACAUCCAGAGAUGGGUGCCCCUUUUAGGUCGGUAUACAGGUGGUGCAUGGUUGUCGUCAGCUCGUGUCGUGAGAUGUUGGGUUAAGUCCCGCAACGAGCGCAACCCUCGUUCUAUGUUGCCAGCACGUGAUGGUGGGGACUCAUGGAAGACUGCCGGGGUCAACUCGGAGGAAGGUGGGGAUGACGUCAAAUCAUCAUGCCCCUUAUGUCUUGGGCUUCACGCAUGCUACAAUGGCCGGUACAAAGGGCUGCGAAACCGUAAGGUGGAGCGAAUCCCAAAAAACCGGUCUCAGUUCGGAUUGGGGUCUGCAACUCGACCCCAUGAAGUCGGAGUCGCUAGUAAUCGCAGAUCAGCAACGCUGCGGUGAAUACGUUCCCGGGCCUUGUACACACCGCCCGUCAAGUCACGAAAGUCGGUUAUAGUUGAAGCCGGU